CGCGGAGUGGAGCAGCUUGGUAGCUCGUCGGGCUCAUAACCCGAAGGUCGUAUGGUUCAAAUCCUGCCUCCGCAACCA
rnacentral:tRNA from 1 species